GCGGAGGAAGAACCAACAGGGAUUGCCCUAGUAACGGCGAGUGAAGCGGCAACAGCUCAAAUUUGAAAUCUGGCGUCUUUGGCGUCCGAGUUGUAAUUUGCAGAGGGCGCUUUGGCAUUGGCAGCGGUCCAAGUUCCUUGGAACAGGACGUCACAGAGGGUGAGAAUCCCGUACGUGGUCGCUAGCCUUUACCGUGUAAAGCCCCUUCGACGAGUCGAGUUGUUUGGGAAUGCAGCUCUAAAUGGGAGGUAAAUUUCUUCUAAAGCUAAAUACUGGCCAGAGACCGAUAGCGCACAAGUAGAGUGAUCGAAAGAUGAAAAGCACUUUGGAAAGAGAGUUAAAAAGCACGUGAAAUUGUUGAAAGGGAAGCGCUUGCAGCCAGACUUGCCUGUAGUUGCUCAUCCGGGUUUCUACCCGGUGCACUCUUCUACGGGCAGGCCAGCAUCAGUUUGGGCGGUUGGAUAAAGGUCUCUGUCAUGUACCUCCUCUCGGGGAGAACUUAUAGGGGAGACGACAUGCAACCAGCCCGGACUGAGGUCCGCGCAUCUGCUAGGAUGCUGGCGUAAUGGCUGUAAGCGGCCCGUCUUGAAACACGGACCAAGGAGUCUAACAUCUAUGCGAGUGUUUGGGUGUCAAGCCCGAGCGCGUAAUGAAAGUGAACGGAGGUGGGAACCUUUCGGGGUGCACCAUCGACCGAUCCUGAUGUCUUCGGAUGGAUUUGAGUAAGAGCAUAGCUGUUGGGACCCGAAAGAUGGUGAACUAUGCUUGAAUAGGGUGAAGCCAGAGGAAACUCUGGUGGAGGCUCGCAGCGGUUCUGACGUGCAAAUCGAUCGUCAAAUUUGGGCAUAGGGGCGAAAGACUAAUCGAACUAUCUAGUAGUG
rnacentral:rRNA from 1 species